rnacentral:rRNA from 1 species
GACGAACGCUGGCGGCGUGCUUAACACAUGCAAGUCGAACGGAAAGGCCCUGCUUGCAGGGUACUCGAGUGGCGAACGGGUGAGUAACACGUGGGUGAUCUGCCCUGCACUUCUGGAUAAGCCUGGGAAACUGGGUCUAAUACCGGAUAUGAGCCAUUUUUAUUGUGAUGGUUGGAAAGUUUUUUCGGUGUAGGAUGAGCUCGCGGCCUAUCAGCUUGUUGGUGGGGUAAUGGCCUACCAAGGCGGCGACGGGUAGCCGGCCUGGGAGGGUGGACGGCCACAUUGGGACUGAGAUUAGGCCCAGACUCCUAAGGGAGGCAGCAGUGGGGAAUAUUGCACAAUGGGCGCAAGCCUGAUGCAGCGACGCCGCGUGGGGGAUGAAGGCCUUCGGGUUGUAAACUCCUUUCGCUAGGGACGAAGCUUUUUGUGACGGUAACUAGAUAAGAAGCACCGGCUAACUACGUG